ensembl:lncRNA
CACUUUUUAUCUCUCUCUCUCUCUCUCUCUCUCUCUCGCUCUCUCUCUCUGUAGCAUGAUAUUGUGGGACAUGAAGCAUAAGAAAGGCAACAGAGUCACACACAGCCGCCUCACUAACGCCAACAACCCGUCCCCUCCUCGCAAGGCCCGCUGUCGCCAUGGAAACACAGUCCAAUCGGAGCCUCGGGAAUGCAGGGAGGGGGCGGGGACAGUGCUGAGCCCUCUAACAUUUCACACACACACAUAUACACACACAGCAGCACACAUGCACACACUGAUAUUCACACACACACGCAUAGUCAGCUCUCUCAAUCUCUCACGCAGAGACAAACAAAUACAUACAAGCUCUGUACGUCCUAUCCAUAUAAACACACAAACACACACACACAUAGACUACAAAAUAUACAUUGGCAGGGUUGCAGGGAGACCAAAGGCUAUCACAGGACAUGGGGAACACGGCAGGGGACACCUUGGACGGGGUGCCAACCAUCGCAGGGCACAAUCAUACACAAUAUGGAAAUGACAAUCAGCCUAUAUCACGUCUUUGGACCGAGGGAGGAGUCCAGAGUACCCGGAAGAAACCCCUAAAGCACGGCGAG